GAGUGGGCGAGGUGGGUUUGCUCGUUUGUUAGUUAGUGUUUUCUUCCCCGCAACUUUGUCUCCACUCAGAGCAGGAAAAGGCGGCAACCAGGUCUGGCUCAGAGGACUGCUCACCGCGUCAAACAAGCGUCCGCUCGGCCCGCAGCAAGUUCCCCGGGGAGACCCAAGAACUGUGUCCCAGCGACUCUGCAAAAAGAUGAAAGGUCCUCGUCUCGUCCGCGUGUCCAAGCGGGAAAAGACCACGCUGCGUGCAGGGCCGCAUGCAUGCUUAAGAGAGUUGUUGGUGAAGGUUGUGUGAGGGAUGCAGGUGGUUGACAAAGAACAUUUAAGCUGGAAAUUCCACACUGAGGUUGGACAUGGAGAGGGAAAGAAAAAUAGGGCAUGGACUAGCCGGGGAAUGUGCUGGGAUGUCGGUGCAGCAAGAUGCUACAGGAAACCAAUGAUGUCAAGUUGUAUGGCUUAGAGCAAGACAGCUAAUAUCUCUCUGGUCAUCACAUUCCUCAUCUGUGAAAUAGCAAUCAUGAUGACGAUCUAAGGUGAUGUGAGGAUGACAUAGAAUACGAUGUGACUCAUGGUUUAAUCCCCCAAGGACCAGAAGCUCUACUUCAAAGAAAAAAGAAAAAUAAGCUGAAGUAUGGGAAUCUUUUCAACUGUUACAACGCUUCAAAGAAUAUUUGUUUUCCAUUCUUCCACAAAGGGAAAUGUGACGUUAAACUAACUGGGACACUGUGAACAAGCCUAAGAAGGCGAGGCUUUCGGAAGCAAACAGCUGAUGAAGAAACGGGUGAAGUUGCACCUCAGUGACAUUGGUGAAGAAAAGAGAUCCUUGUAGCAUCACUGAAGUGAACUCCUAAGAGACGGCAUUUGUACAUCAUCACAUGUUGACUAUUUAUUUUGACCACAUCUUUCUUAUAAGAUGGGCAUAUGUUUCAACACUAACAGGCUCAGUGUGUUGCUAAAAUAUUCUGCAUUAUGAAUAGUCCACCCUCAAGUCGGAGAGCAGCCGGAUGGUUUUACAAACUCACUGUUCUUUAGAUGAAAAAAUGUAACACAGAACUUUUUUGUUUCAAUGAGAUUGAGACUUGGGGACAUGCAGGCCUUGUUCUAAAGUAACAGAGUUCCUUUUUUUUCUGAAGAGCCAUUGUUUCUCUUUGAUAUAGUGUUCUUUCCUGAUACUUGAUAAGGAAAGGAAUUUGUGAUUACUGGGUAUAUAUGCAGUUUGCCGUUCUAACCUCUUUUUUUUUCCCCCGCGUCAAAAUAGGAGGAAUGGGAUUUUUUAUCCAUAUAAAGCAGAUAAGACUUAUUUUUUCCCUCUACAAGGUUUAAUGUUUAAACUCUGCACCCGAA